GCAUACGAGAUAGCUAAACUAGUAAAGCAGAAGACUGAAAAUCCUCUUGUUACCAGUUCAAAUAUGGUUCUUUGCA